GGUUUUUUGGGGGAUGAUAAGAAAUCUAGCCUGCCCAAUGAGUGGUGAGCUUUAAUGGCCGCGGUAUUUUGACCGUGCUAAGGUAGCAUAAUAAUUAGUCUUGUGAUUUGGGACUGGAAUGAAAGGCUGGACGAGGGAAAUUCUGUUUCUGAGAUAGAAAUUGAAAUUGGUUUUGUUGUGAAAAGGCAACAAGUGGGCUAAGGGACGAGAAGACCCUAUUAAGUUUUACAGGAUUAGCUGUAAGUUUUUUAUAUGGGGAGGCUUAUUGGUUUAGAUUUUGUUUUGCUGGGGCGGUGCUGAUUAGAGGAGAUCUUUUGGUAAGGAAAAGGGGAUUGUGAGACUUAGGGAGCCAGGAUGUUGGUUUUGAUAUGUGGAUUAAAUUACUAUAGGGAUAACAGCGUAAUAUUGUUGGAGAGUUCAUAUUGAUAACAAAUUUUGCGACCUCGAUGUUGAAUUAAAAUUCCUGUUUGGUGUAGGGGCUAGAUAAGGUGGUCUGUUCGACCAAUAAUUUUUUACA
rnacentral:rRNA from 1 species